AUGAAGCUGGAAUCGCUAGUAAUCGCGGAUCAGAAUGCCGCGGUGAAUACGUUCCCGGGUCUUGUACACACCGCCCGUCACACCAUGAGAGUUGGGAAUACCCGAAGCCUGUGAGCUAACUUAUAGAGGCAGCAGUCGAAGGUAGAAUCAAUGAUUGGGGUGAAGUCGUAACAAGGUACC
rnacentral:rRNA from 1 species